GGUGCUUGUGCCUUCAUAGACGCUACACAUAUACGCGAUGAAAGAGAGACGAAGACGACGCAAUUCUCUCUUUGUCUAGCGAUCAGUGUACUACCAGUAUCGACAAUAUCGAAAAGUGGAUGUAGCACAGACAUGAACCAAAAUUGAAAAGUGGACGUAGCACGGAAAUGAAUCAUUCGGCCGUUUUAUCCUGCUUGAAAAUGAACGUGGCCAUGUAGUUCCAAGCGGCCGUAAAAUGGACGUAGAGGCGUUGUUGUACGGAACCGAGAGCUAGUACGAAAAACGUCGGGAUCGCUCUCAGUCUUCUCUCUGCCAGCAGGCAAGCUAUUUUGCUCUGAUUGAUCAAUCCACAAUCAUCAACCGUAAUCUCAAUUUGUACAAAGAAAAUAAUUGUUUUUUAAAAAAAGUGUAAUUAUUUACAUUUUUUUAUAACAAUUAUUUUUUUUUAUAAUUGAUUCAUCUUAUUAUUUUGUACAUAAAAGUCUUACGAUCUGAGCACUCGCUACCCCCACUUCGGAUUUUGUGUAGAAGACCGUGGAUUAACAUGGGGGCGUGAUUUAAUCUAAUGUGGCGACUGCAAGGCAGACAGUAUGGUCGGUUAAGAAUAUGCAAACGUCAUAUUUUCUUUACAAGGUUUAUACUUAUAUUAAGUAUACACAAGCAUUUGAAUACUCAGUUAGUGCUAUUCUUUUAAAGCUAAUGUCCAGUAGGUAGCCAAUUCUUUUUACAUUUU